rnacentral:rRNA from 1 species
UACGUAGGGCGCAAGCGUUAUCCGGAAUUAUUGGGCGUAAAGCGUGCGCAGGCGGUUCGUUGUGUCGGCGGUGAAAGCCCCGGGCUCAACCUGGGAAUGGCCGUUGAAACUGGCGAACUGGAGUGUGGCAGAGGGGGGUGGAAUUCCGCGUGUAGCAGUGAAAUGCGUAGAGAUGCGGAGGAACACCGAUGGCGAAGGCAGCCCCCUGGGCUGACACUGACGCUCAGGCACGAAAGCGUGGGGAGCAAACAGG